UACGUAGGGGGCAAGCGUUGUCCGGAUUUAUUGGGCGUAAAGAGCGUGUAGGCGGCUUUACAGGUCCGUUGUGAAAACUCGAGGCUCAACCUCGAGACGCCGGUGGAAACCGUAAAGCUAGAGUCCGGAAGAGGAGAGUGGAAUUCCUGGUGUAGCGGUGAAAUGCGCAGAUAUCGGGAGGAACACCAAUGGCGAAGGCAGCUUGCUGGGACGGUACUGACGCUGAGACGCGAAAGCGUGGGGAGCAAACAGG
rnacentral:rRNA from 1 species